GGCCCCAGCACUGGAGCGUUCACUGCGUCUCCCUCUCGCACACCAGCCGGCCGGGACAUGUACCCACAGAGAGAGAGACAACUUCCAAACUGAAAUGAAAGCAGGACCCGUUCCAUGAGAAGUCCAUGAAGAGUGCCUCAGGAGGUGUGAAGGUGCAGAGAGGGGCUACUAGCAUGAUCAGAGAAAUGGAGAACCUGCCUUACGCAAGGAGACUUAAGGGACCUGAAGGAAAGCGGAACGCGCAGGACACCUGGAAGAAAGAAGACUCUCACAGAGCUGUGGCAACCACACCAACAGAACCCCGCUGGGUAAGAAAGCUAACUAUUGCCUUACAACAAGCAGCAAAGUAGCUAGCUACCCAUGAUCAGAAGCAUCGACAAUGCUCACUAGCUUCAGACAAUGCUCACUAGUGGCCAUCG